CAGUGCCGGAAGGUUAAGGGGAGAGGUUACUCCGCGCUUGCGUGGGGGAAGCUUUGAACCGAAGCCCCGGUGAACGGCGGCCGUAACUAUAACGGUCCUAAGGUAGCGAAAUUCCUUGUCGGGUAAGUUCCGACCCGCACGAAUGGCGUAACGAGCGGGGCACUGUCUCAAGGAGGGACCCGGCGAAAUUGAAGUAGGUGUGAAGAUGCGCCUUACCCGCAGCAGGACAAAAAGACCCCGUGGAGCUUUACUGCAGCUUGGUAUUGGGUUAGGGUUUCGCCUGUGUAGGAUAGCUGGGAGACAAUGAAACUGGGGCGCCAGCCUCGGUGGAGUCGUCCUUGAAAUACCAGCCUGGCCAAAUCUUGACUCUAACCUGUGUCCGUGAUCCGGCACAGGGACAGUGCCAGGUGGGCAGUUUGACUGGGGCAGUCGCCUCCCAAAAGGUAAUGGAGGCGCCCAAAGGUUCCCUCAGGCUGAAUGGAAACCAGCCGUAGAGUGUAAAGGCAUAAGGGAGCUUGACUGCGAGUCCUACAAGACGAGCAGAGUCGAAAGACGGGCUUAGUGAUCCCACGGUUCCGAGUGGAAGGGCCGUGGCUUACCGGAUAAAAGCUACCCCGGGGAUAACAGGCUAGUCGCGCCCAAGAGUUCACAUCGACGGCGCGGCUCGGCACCUCGAUGUCGGCUCGUCGCAUCCUGGGGCUGGAGUAGGUCCCAAGGGUUGGGCUGUUCGCCCAUUAAAGCGGCACGCGAGCUGGGUUCAGACCGUCGUGAGACAGGUCGGUCUCUAUCCGCUGUGGGCGCAGGGGAUUUGAGAGGGGCUGCCCCUAGUACGAGAGGACCGGGGUGGACAGACCUCUGGUGUGCCAGUUGUCGUGCCAACGGCAUAGCUGGGUAGCCAAGUCUGGCAGUGAUAACCGCUGAAAGCAUCUAAGUGGGAAGCACGCCUCAAGAUGAGAUCCCCCAUCCCUUCGUGGGAGUAAGGCCGCAGGUAGACUACCUGCUAGAUAGGCGGCGGGUGUAAGCACAGCAAUGUGUUGAGCUUAGCCGUACUAAUGGCCGAGGGCUUGAUUCGCACAU
rnacentral:rRNA from 1 species